rnacentral:rRNA from 1 species
CCUACGGGGGGCAGCAGUGGGGAAUAUUGGGCAAUGGAGGAAACUCUGACCCAGCAAUGCCGCGUGAAUGAAGAAGGUCUUCGGGUUGUAAAGUUCUUUACUCAGGGAAGAAGAAAGUGACGGUACCUCAGGAAUAAGCUACGGCUAACUACGUGCCAGCAGCCGCGGUAAUACGUAGGGAGCAAGCGUUGUUCGGAAUGACUGGGCGUAAAGGGUGCGUAGGCGGGUAAACAAGUUAGAAGUGAAAUACCCAGGGCUCAACCCUGGUGCUGCUUCUAAAACUGUAAGACUUGAGUGCAGGAGAGGCUAGCGGAAUUCCUAGUGUAGCGGUGGAAUGCGUAGAUAUUAGGAGGAACACCAGAGGCGAAGGCGGCUAGCUGGACUGUAACUGACGCUGAGGCACGAAAGUGUGGGGAGCAAACAGGAUUAGAUACCCCAGUAGUC